ensembl:snRNA U6 U6 spliceosomal RNA
GUGCUCACUUGGGCAGCACAUAUACUAAAACUGGAACGAUACAGAGAAGAUUAGCAUGGCCCCUACAUAAGAUGACACACAAAUUCAUGAAGCAUUCCAUAUUUUU